UACGGAGGGUGCAAGCGUUGCUCGGAAUUAUUGGGCGUAAAGCGCACGCAGGCGGCAAGGUAAGUCAGCUGUGAAACUCCCGGGCUUAACCUGGGAACUGCAAUUGAUACUGCCUGGCUUGAGUACGGAAGAGGGGGGCGGAAUUCCUAGUGUAGAGGUGAAAUUCGUUGAUAUUGGGAGGAACACCGGUGGCGAAAGCGGCCCCCUGGUCCGAUACUGACGCUCAUGUGCGAAAGCGUGGGGAGCAAACAGG
rnacentral:rRNA from 1 species